ensembl:lncRNA
UGGACAAGAAAAUGUGCUUUUGUUUCAAAAACAAAAACAUUUCUAAGUGACCCCAAACUUUUGAGCGGUAGUGUAUAUAUAUACAGUACCAGUCAGAAGUUUGGACACAUUUACUCAUUCAAGGGUUGGUUUGGGAUGAGUUGGACUGCGGAGUGAAGGAAAAGCUGCCAAAAAGUGCUCAGCAUAUGUGACUCAGCAUAUGUGACUCAGCAUAUGUGACUCCUUCAAGACUGUUGAAAAGCCUUCCUCAUGAAGCUGGUUGAUAGAAAGCCAAGAGUGUACAAAGCUGUCAUCAAGGCAAAGGGUGGCUACUUCAAAGAAUCUGUAUAUGGUAAUGUAUAUAUUAAAGUCAUAAAUAUUAUUUUUAUACCACGGGUUACCAACGUACUUAAUUAAUGAUUGACAUAUUUACAUUGAAAAUGUUAUUUUGAUUAAUUUAAUCAUACUAUUUCAUCCUUCCACAAGAUAUAGUCCUGACACAAAUCUAGGGUUGCUACCCAAGUUGGCGGGUCGUUCGUUCUAUUGGUUUGGUUCUCAGAGACGGAUCCAGUCGUUCAGUCUUUUUGUUCUGUAUCUAUGGACGCGACCCAUUCGUUUCUUCUAAACUACAGCUAAUUUACAGUCACGUCAAACAGUGCAGCCAGAAUAGAAACAGUAUGCAUUUGCAUUUGUUUAAGCUGUUUCCUAGUGACAUUUAUAACAGUGAGCUAAUGAGGCCCGAUUUCGCCUGGCAUAGAAAAUGUGCUCUCUUGUCAGGGAACUUUUGUUCAGAGUAGCUAGCCAACAGCACAGCUAACACUCACUUCAAACUGAAGCUGAAAAGACUGCAAACUAGCUGCACUUCGUUUCGUUUUACCUUUUUUCAAUUUACAUUUCUUUGUAUAUAUCCAUAAAAAAUGAUGCCAGCUGAUUCAUGAUUUCAACUGGCUGAGUGCCUGUCUUGUCUCGUCCUGACUCCCGACACGUUCAUUAUUAUGGAACAGCUGGAGAUCGAAUUUGAAUAUUGAAACAAUGUUGCAAAUGUCAGAGACAGACAGCAAGGUUUAUACAAAUCUCUGCUGUUGAAAACUAAAUGUUAGUCUAAAAGACAUGUGAGAUAAUGUCCAGAUGCUUUUUAUAGUGGAGUCAGUGGAUGUUUUUUACUGAUGAGACAGUGGAUUGCGCAGUCGGAUGGAACAGAGUGAAUAGGAAUUCAGAGUGAAUAGGAUUUUUAAGGUCAUAGAUUUAGCCGGUGAUAAUUUGUGGAAUAGACACCGGCUGGAAUGCGGUUUUAACCAAUCAGCAUUCCGGAUUAGACCCAUCCGUUGUAUAAGUAAAUAUAAUGCAGGGGUUUACAGAGACUGAAGCCCCUGGGCCCAAGCCUAUGGAGGACCCAAGAGACAAAAAAACAUAGAUAUAGACAUUAUAUCAUAUAUAUUUUUUAUCCAACCGCAGGAGCCCACUCUCAAUGUUCAAAAUACACCAGAGAGCAUAAUUUAGCCACAGAGGAUAGAGAGUUUCAAAAAAUAGCUGUGGAUUAAGUUUUAUCACAAGCACAUACAGAUAACUCCGAAACUAAAGCCAACAUAAAUUGUCUUAAAAGGCCUAGAUUCUACAAGUGGACCUGAACCAUGCCAGGAAUAUGCAUCCCACACCAUAACAUAUACUUUGUGUCCCUCAUUACUCAAGUGUUUCCUUUAUAUUGUCAGUUACCGGUAUGCCUCCAGCCUCCAUGUGCGUCAAAUAUACAGCUUGUUGCGUUGUGGACAUAGAAAUACAAUCCAUAGAAGGGUUUUGGAACCUCUUACCCUGGCAAUUUGACUGUUAAAUUAAUGGGUACACUAGCGUCCUGAUUUGAAUGGGAACUGCCAUCUAUGGAUUAAAUUAUAUAUGGAUUAUAUUAUAUUUCAAAAUGCAAUCGAAGGGGGAAAAAAAUUACAGUUUGUAAAGCAAAUGCCUACUGUUGAAAAGAGAACACUAAACCGUCUAUAGAACCAACUGAAACAUUUUUCUCAACAACUGCGAACAUCAGCACUGUUUUUCAAAGGAGCUAAUCUUGAGAUAGACUAUUGAAUGACCAGGUGAAUCCAGGUGACCUGUGAUUUCUUCAACCGCCCCUGCUGCUAAGCAUGGCAGCCGGGAUGACAUAACAGGAGAGGAGAAUAUGAAUGGGAUGCCUUUAAAGUAUUUUAUCUCAAGCUGUGUUUGAAGAAGAGUUUGAAGAGUCUAAAACAUGAAUACAUCUGAGAAUCCUAUUGGAUGAAGAUGAUGAUGAAGUUUGAGAGGGGAAAUAGGAAGCACCAGGCAGCAUAGCAGACUAGUAUGUCCCAAUGCAGGGCAUAAGGACAGGGAAAGGGAUAGAACACUGCUACCUGAAUGAGUUGAGUGGAGCUGCGGAAAGAAAAAACUGGGAUCUCACAAUGCGCUGUACCAAAGAGAAUGUAUCACAUCAAGAAUGUUGGACUGAUUUGAAUAGUGUUACAUUUCUACGAACAAUAACAAGUACCCAUAGAGCUAAGGCACCUGUCUCUGUUGUUGAAAAUAUCCAUACUGUACACAAGAAUGGUCCUUCUUCGGUGUUUUCUGCUCUGUCAAUGGAUCCUAGAGCUACAGUAACCACUGUAAGUCAAGCUAUUAGUGCUGCACUGCCUAAUGAGGCAUAGAGAUCUCGAUGUCUACAGACUGACAACCUGACACUGCCUGAGAUAGCCUGAUGGUGAUUGUGUGUGUGUCAAUUGGUGGAUUAGGUAGAUGCCGUGGACAUUCAUUGAUCUGGCCAAUAAGGACCAAUCAGGUUGAUUCUUAUGAUUCACUAUAGGAAUGACCUGAACUGUACUGUACAGAUAUGUUCUUUUCACAUUGUCCUUUUCAGCACAGUUCCCGCAACUAUAGAUGCGCAAUCAGCCCCAGCCAGUACAGCUGGGCGGUUCGGUUCGGUUUGCCUUAGUAUUGUGAAAAGAGUAUUAGAGCAAGAAUAGUAGUUUUUUUUUAACCUACCAGCAUCUUAGGUAUCUACUGUACUGCCUUCACAGCCAGUGAAACUGAGUGGCAAAUAGCCAUGGUCCAAUCGUCGACAGAAAGAAUCUUCAAAUGGUCUUAUAUUACAGUCUUAGAACUAAGAUGAAAUGUCAUCAAUGCUUGCCAGGGUGCGUGGGAGUUGAAAAGAGUCGCAUGCAGUCAGAUCUGAAAACCCUUAGAUUCCAAAAUUGUCCUUGAGACGUUUUUAUUUAUUACAUUUUACUGUACCACUCUUUUAUAUAUAUUUUUUUUUUGUUAAACUGAGAAAUAGUUUUUUUUAUGUCUCUGAAUUUUAAACAUGCAAAAAGUAUUUUAUCCUGUUGUUUAAAAAAAAUCCACGUUAAUGUUACUGUUUGAUUUAUAAUAAAAUUAUCUUUUACUGAA